rnacentral:rRNA from 1 species
AAACCAGCACCUCAAGUGGUCAGGAGGAUUAUUGGGCCUAAAGCAUCCGUAGCCUGUUCUGUAAGUUUUCGGUUAAAUCCAUUAGCUCAACUAAUGGGCCGCCGAAAAUACUGUAGAACUAGGGAGUGGGAGAGGUAGACGGUAUUCGGUAGGAAGGGGUAAAAUCCUUUGAUCUAUUGAGGACCACCUGUGGCGAAGGCGGUCUACCAGAACACGUUCGACGGUGAGGGAUGAAAGCUGGGGGAGCAAACCGGAUUAGAUACCCGGGUAGUCC